rnacentral:misc_RNA from 1 species
GGGAAUUUGUCAUAUGAAUGCCCUUGUCCAUUACUAGAACCUAAUGUAGUGACAGCAUAGUGUUAAUGAUUUAAUUGGUUCUUUGCUUGUUGUUGAAAAUAGCAAUAUGGUUGAGUUGAGGUUGAUGUAUGGAUCAAAGGGCUAGUAAUAAAUUGGGUUUAUUAAAUGUGUUGUGUAACAUACUGUUAACACAAAGAAUGCUUAUUGUCUUGAUUAUUCUUCCUGCUUGAGUUAUGUUUUACGUUAAGUUGGGGUUUUAUUUAUCAAUGAAAAUAAGGGUAACAAAAAACGGAUUAAAAGCUUGUUUCUAAGGGGGAUUCCCCUUG